rnacentral:piRNA from 2 species
AUGUUAAGUAAGCCAGGUUCAGCA